rnacentral:rRNA from 1 species
GACGAACGCUGGCGGCGUGCCUAACACAUGCAAGUCAACUUGACUGAAGGAGCAAUCUGACAGUAGAGUGGCGCAAGGGUGCGUAACGCGUAAGUAACUUGCCCAAGGUAAGGAAUAACGUCGAGAAAUCGGCGCUAAUACCUCAUAAUGCAGCGGAUCCGCAUGGAUAUGUUGUUAAAGGUUUACCGCCUUGGGAUAGGCUUGCGUCUGAUUAGCUAGUUGGUGUGGUAACGGCACACCAAGGCUACGAUCAGUAACUGGUCUGAGAGGAUGAUCAGUCACACCGGAACUGAGACACGGUCCAGACUCCUACGGGAGGCAGCAGUGAGGAAUAUUGGGCAAUGCUCGAAAGAGUGACCCAGCAACGCCGCGUGGAGGAUGAAGGUAUUCUAUAUCGUAAACUCCUGUGAGAGCAGACGAAGACAGAUUAUAAUCUGGAUGACUGUAUGCUCAGAGGAAGCCCCGGCUAACU